rnacentral:rRNA from 1 species
UGAGGUGCUUGCACCUUAUCUUAGCGGCGGACGGGUGAGUAAUGCUUAGGAAUCUGCCUAUUAGUGGGGGACAACAUUCCGAAAGGAAUGCUAAUACCGCAUACGCCCUACGGGGGAAAGCAGGGGAUCUUCGGACCUUGCGCUAAUAGAUGAGCCUAAGUCGGAUUAGCUAGUUGGUGGGGUAAAGGCCUACCAAGGCGACGAUCUGUAGCGGGUCUGAGAGGAUGAUCCGCCACACUGGGACUGAGACACGGCCCAGACUCCUACGGGAGGCAGCAGUGGGGAAUAUUGGACAAUGGGCGGAAGCCUGAUCCAGCCAUGCCGCGUGUGUGAAGAAGGCCUUUUGGUUGUAAAGCACUUUAAGCGAGGAGGAGGCUACUUAGAUUAAUACUCUAGGAUAGUGGACGUUACUCGCAGAAUAAGCACCGGCUAACUCUGUGCCAGCAGCCGCGGUAAUACAGAGGGUGCGAGCGUUAAUCGGAUUUACUGGGCGUAAAGCGUGCGUAGGCGGCUGAUUAAGUCGGAUGUGAAAUCCCUGAGCUUAACUUAGGAAUUGCAUUCGAUACUGGUCAGCUAGAGUAUGGGAGAGGAUGGUAGAAUUCCAGGUGUAGCGGUGAAAUGCGUAGAGAUCUGGAGGAAUACCGAUGGCGAAGGCAGUCAUCUGGCCUAAUACUGACGCUGAGGUACGAAAGCAUGGGGAGCAAACAGGAUUAGAUACCCUGGUAGUCCAUGCCGUAAACGAUGUCUACUAGCCGUUGGGGCCUUUGAGGCUUUAGUGGCGCAGCUAACGCGAUAAGUAGACCGCCUGGGGAGUACGGUCGCAAGACUAAAACUCAAAUGAAUUGACGGGGGCCCGCACAAGCGGUGGAGCAUGUGGUUUAUUUCGAUGCAACGCGAAGAACCUUACCUGUCUUGACAUAGU